CGCCCGCCAUGUUCUCCCCCACCCCCAUCUUCCCACUCAGUCUCUCUGCUCAAAUGUCAGCUCCUCCCAGAGACCCCGUAUGUAAAGGCAUUUAGUGACUUACUGAGAAAAGCUCCCCAUUAUCUUAUUACUGUUUUAAGGUGUUCAGCUCAUACUGCUGUAUCCUGUUUACUACCCUUUAAUGUCACAAUAUGUCAUGAGCAUUUUUCCAUUAGACAAGAGUGUUUCCUCUGCUCCAUCCAACACAAAGAUUUUUAACAAGGCACAGAGUAAAACUACGUGGACACAUGCUGCCAGAACAGCAGCUGUAGGGAGCCCAGUGACUGUCAGCACCCCCGUGGGACCUGUUUCUAGUUGUCCACACUCAAUGGAGCAACUUGAAGAUCUGAGGAGGUGACCAGGACACAAAGAAGGUUGGAAUGUGACACCCAUUCCUCCUCUAGAUCAGAAAGAGGGCUAGGGGUUAGGGUAGAAAACUCACCUUGUAAACUUUUGCAGUUUAGAUGUAGAUUCUGGGACAAACAUGGGGAUGGUCCUCUUGUGUCUGAAACAAACGUUUUCGCAGACAGAUGCAGAGCAACAGGUAAGGACAGAGCUGCUGAGCCUCCAGCCAGUAGCGAGCAGCAACACUCCCAGAUCAGGCCCGUGCAGCCGCCGCUUGGCUGAGUCAAGGUCAAUGCCAACAAAUCUAACCUGCGCUGGCUGAGCGCGGGGAGACAGCAGUGACCAUCACCAGCCCAGGCCCAGCCUCACCAAGAUCCGGGCUGCACCCCCCCACCAUCCAUGCCGAGUUGCCCAGGCCCCUGGGGGGCCCCAGAGGAUUCCCAGCCUGACCUGAGACAGAUGGGGUGAUGCCUGUCCCUAGGACAUGCCCUGUUGAGGGUGCCUGGGUCCCAGGAGAGAGAUCAUUGUCCCAGGUGGAAGGUGAGGCAGUGAGGCCCAGGAAGAGCCCGGAGGUGGCCUGCCAGGCUCCAAUCCUGCCACCAGUGUGACCUCAG